CACAUGACUCAACUUUGGGCAUUCUGGAGAUUCACAGACCAGGGAUCAAGUGCUUGUGCGCAGAGCUUGAGUCCCUGCUUUCUUAGCUGUGUGACCUCAGAUGAGAAAACAGAGGCACAGAGAGAUUAAGCAACUUGUUGCAGGUCACACAGCCAGAAAGUAGUGGAAGCAGACCCUGAACCCAGGACAGCCUGCUCCUAACUGCAAUAACUCACAAAUAACUCCAUGCCGUGCAUCUGUCUUUGUUCUAAAGAAGAUCCUAAAAUGGCCUUUCAUGCAGGCCCAGGUCCUUCCAUUGUCCCUCAUCUUCUUCCCCUAAAGGAUUCUCUCUGCACUUUUCUCUUGAUGAUUUAAGCCUACAGAACCAUCCCAGGGGGGAGGUCCUGCCAUUCUGCUCUUACAGAUGAAGACAAGUCUCAGCAAAGUGAAGCAGCAUCCUGAAGGUCACCCAGCUGGUCAGCGGCAGAGCUGGGACUGCACUUGUGCUUCUGCCAAGGUCCUGAGCACUGGGGAUUUUGCCAUCGGCCACCACUGAGGUCACUGUGCCUUGUUAUGUGACAUCUCUCUCUCUCUCUUAGGAAGGGGGGCAUUCCUCUCUGAUCUUGGUACUAAGGAAUGUUGUGUAAUCUCUAAACGGUCAAUUUUAUUGAACUACUACUUAUUGAUUACUUGCUGCAUGGCUGAGCGGUGAUAAACAAUCUUAUCUA